UGCCACUCAUGAUCUUGUGGUCUUAUCCACCAAGUGGCCUUCCAAAAUAGCAGAAAAUCCUGGCGCCUCAUCUGCUCCCCCCUGCUCCAGACAUGGCGAAGCCGAUAUCGAUAGAGGUGUGGAACCCCAGCGGCAAGUACCGCGUGGUGAGCACCAAGUCCAUGCCCGGCACCCGCUGGAUCAAGCUCCUCACUGACAACGACUGCCGCCUCGAGAUAUGCACGGAGAAGAAGACCAUCCUCUCUGUUGACGACAUACUGGCACUCAUCGGUGAUCACUGCCAUGGUGUCAUCGGCCAGCUAACAGAGGACUGGGGGGAAGUGCUCUUCUCUGCGCUCAAGCGUGCCGGCGGGACAGCCUUCAGCAACAUGGCCGUCGGUUACAACAACGUUGAUGUCGAUGCUGCCAACAGGAAUGGCAUCGCCAUCGGCAACACGCCUGGUGUUCUUACCGAGACGACGGCGGAGCUGGCGGCGUCACUGUCGGUGGCGGCUGCCCGGAGGAUCGUUGAGGCCGACCAAUUCAUGAGGGCUGGCCUCUACGACGGAUGGCUUCCGCACUUGUUUGUUGGGAACUUGCUCAAGGGGCAGACUGUUGGAGUGAUCGGAGCUGGCCGCAUCGGCUCAGCUUAUGCAAGGAUGAUGAUUGAGGGGUUCAAGAUGAACUUGAUCUACUUCGAUCUGUACCAGUCCACACGGCUCGAGAAAUUCGUCACAGCGUAUGGCCAGUUCCUGAAAGCCAAUGGUGAGCAGCCUGUGACAUGGAAGAGGGCCUCCAGCAUGGAGGAAGUUCUCAGGGAGGCCGAUGUGAUAAGCCUGCACCCAGUGCUGGACAAGACGACGUACCACCUGAUAAACCCUGAGCGGCUGGCGAUGAUGAAGAAGGAGGCAGUGCUGGUGAACGCCAGCCGUGGCCCGGUGAUCGACGAGGUUGCACUGGUGGAGCACCUGAGGGCGAAUCCCAUGUUCCGUGUUGGCCUCGAUGUUUUUGAGGAUGAGCCUUACAUGAAGCCAGGGCUGGCUGAGAUGAAGAAUGCCGUCGUCGUGCCUCACAUCGCAUCUGCAUCGAAGUGGACGCGUGAAGGGAUGGCGACGCUCGCUGCUCUGAACGUGCUUGGUAAGAUCAAGGGGUACCCGGUGUGGGGGAACCCGAACGCGGUGGAGCCCUUCCUCGACGAGAAGGCGGCGCCGCCCCCUGCCUGCCCAAGCAUCGUUAACGCCAAGCAACUCGGCCUGCCAUCUUCCAAGCUUUAGGCAGAGGCAGAGGCAGAGAUGGAUGAAUCACUGCUACUACUACUACUACUUGCUAAGAUGCUAUGCAUAUAUAGCUCCUUACCAGUAUAUAUGUAUGAAUGCCCUCAUCCUCAUGGAGUAGCAGUACUGAAUGAAUGAAUGAUUAUAUAUAUCAAGCAAGAGAUUUUUGAUCAGUUAUGCAUUUAUUAUAUGUUUCCCUGCCCUGCCCUGCCCUGACCUUCCCUGCAUUACUUAUACCCACUGCUUGCUAC
rnacentral:rRNA from 1 species